CAGUCGCCACGGGAAUACGUAGGUCCCGAGCGUUGUCCGGAAUUAUUGGGCGUAAAGGGCUUGUGGGCGGUUGGUCGCGUCUGCCGUGAAAUCCUCUGGCUUAACUGGGGGCGUGCGGUGGGUACGGGCUGACUUGAGUGCGGUAGGGGAGACUGGAACUCCUGGUGUAGCGGUGGAAUGCGCAGAUACCAGGAAGAACACCGGUGGCGAAGGCGGGUCUCUGGGCCGUUACUGACGCUAAGGAGCGAAAGCGUGGGGAGCGAACAGGAUUAGAUACCCCAGUAGUCCCUGUCUCUUAUAC
rnacentral:rRNA from 1 species